rnacentral:rRNA from 1 species
GACGAACGCUGGCGGCGUGCUUAACACAUGCAAGUCGAGCGAUGAAGCUCCUUCGGGAGUGGAUUAGCGGCGGACGGGUGAGUAACACGUGGGUAACCUGCCUCAUAGAGGGGAAUAGCCUUCCGAAAGGAAGAUUAAUACCGCAUAACAUUGCAGUACCGCAUGGUACAGCAAUUAAAGGAGCAAUCCGCUAUGAGAUGGACCCGCGUCGCAUUAGCUAGUUGGUGAGGUGACGGCUCACCAAGGCGACGAUGCGUAGCCGACCUGAGAGGGUGAUCGGCCACAUUGGGACUGAGACACGGCCCAGACUCCUACGGGAGGCAGCAGUGGGGAAUAUUGCACAAUGGGGGAAACCCUGAUGCAGCAACGCCGCGUGAGUGAUGACGGUCUUCGGAUUGUAAAACUCUGUCUUUGGGGACGAUAAUGACGGUACCCAAGGAGGAAGCCACGGCUAACUACGUGCCAGCCGCCGCAGUAAGAC